rnacentral:rRNA from 1 species
GACAGAGGGUGCAAACGUUGUUCGGAAUUACUGGGCGUAAAGGGCGCGUAGGCGGCGACUCAAGUUAGAUGUGAAAGUCCUGGGCUUAACCUGGGGACUGCAUUUGAUACUGGGUUGCUUGAAUUCGGGAGAGGAUAGCGGAAUUCCCAGUGUAGAGGUGAAAUUCGUAGAUAUUCGGAAGAACACCAGUGGCGAAGGCGACUUACUGGACACAUAUUGACGCUGAGGUGCGAAAGCGUGGGGAGCAAACAGG